CGAUAACGCAACGGGUUGUGAUAACAGUAGAGUAUUCAAUUAGCUGCUAAGGGAGCGUGGUGUGUAAGGUUUUUGAUUUCAUUAUUUAACAGAAACAAGAUAUACGCAGGCUUAACACGAACUGUUUUGUGAACGUUUUAUCAUUUACUGAAUACUGAAAAACAGUCUUAUGAUUUGAUAGAAAUCGUUCAAACGACAAAUUGUGCAGAAGGAAAGAGGUCAGACAAAUUUAACUAUGAAUGUCGAGUGAGAAACACAGUACGUGUGGUUUUAAAAAGAAGUCAACACACAUAAAGGUUAUAUUAUUGCCUCCAGAUAUUUAGAUCUAUCCAAACUAUACCUGUGCAUUGGCCGACUAUUGUGACAAAAAGGCAAGCAUGGACGUCAAGUCAAAACGUGAUUUCUUUGAAUUGAAAAGUAAACAACCCAUUCAGACUCCACAAAAGAUUAUACAAGAAGAACGUCAUAGACCACCAAAAG